rnacentral:rRNA from 1 species
UGGGGAAUUUUGCACAAUGGGGGAAACCCUGAUGCAGCGACGCCGCGUGAUUUAGAAGGCCUUCGGGUUGUAAAAAUCUUUUUUACGGGAUGAAAAUGACAGUACCGUAAGAAUAAGGUCCGGCUAAAUACGUGCCAGCAGCUGCGGUAAUACGUAUGGACCGAGCGUUGUCCGGAAUCAUUGGGCGUAAAGGGUACGUAGGCGGCCUAGUAAGUUAGAAGUGAAAUAAUAUAGCUCAACUAUAUAAAGCUUUUAAAACUGCUAGGCUUGAGAGAUAGAAGGGAAAGUGGAAUUCCUAGUGUAGCGGUUAAAUGCGCAGAUAUUAGGAAGAAUACCGGUGGCGAAGGCGACUUUCUGGUCAUCAUCUGACGCUGAGGUACGAAAGAGUGGGUAGCAGACAGG